UACGGAGGGGACUAGCGUUGUUCGGAAUUACUGGGCGUAAAGCGCACGUAGGCGGCUUUGUAAGUCAGGGGUGAAAUCCCGGGGCUCAACCCCGGAACUGCCUUUGAUACUGCAAAUCUAGAGUCCGGAAGAGGUGAGUGGAAUUCCUAGUGUAGAGGUGAAAUUCGUAGAUAUUAGGAAGAACACCAGUGGCGAAGGCGGCUCACUGGUCCGGUACUGACGCUGAGGUGCGAAAGCGUGGGGAGCAAACAGG
rnacentral:rRNA from 1 species